UCAAACUUGGUCAUUUAGAGGAAGUAAAAGUCGUAACAAGGUUUCCGUAGGUGAACCUGCGGAAGGAUCAUUAACAAUACUCUACACCCCAUCCUUUUUACCCUUACUAGCAGGUUUUGUACUGGCAGGUCCUCUGCUUUACUAGCAGGUCCAUUCGGACCUGAGAAUUAACUAGCAGGUCCAUACGGACCUGAGGGUAAAAAGUUAUGGCGAAACAACACACGAUACAGGUUGACGACACGGAGACAGCAACAACAACUUUUAACAAUGGAUCUCUUGGCUCUUGCAUCGAUGAAGAACGCAGC
rnacentral:misc_RNA from 1 species